rnacentral:rRNA from 1 species
GCGUAUUGGAUGACGCCCAUGGUCGGUAUUAGCUUAGGUUGGCGGGGUAAUGGCCCACCAAGGCGACGAUCCGUAGCUGGUCUGAGAGGAUGAUCAGCCACACUGGAACUGAGACACGGUCCAGACUCCUACGGGAGGCAGCAGUAGGGAAUAUUGGACAAUGGGCGCAAGCCUGAUCCAGCCAUGCCGCGUGAGUGAAGAAGGCCCUCGGGUUGUAAAGCUCUUUGUCCGGAAAGAAAAGCGCCGGGUUAAUACCCUGGUGUCCUGACGGUACCGGAAGAAUAAGCACCGGCUAACUUCGUG